rnacentral:rRNA from 1 species
UCAGCUUGUUGGUGAGGUAAUGGCUCACCAAGGCGACGACGGGUAGCCGGCCUGAGAGGGUGACCGGCCACACUGGGACUGAGACACGGCCCAGACUCCUACGGGAGGCAGCAGUGGGGAAUAUUGCACAAUGGGCGCAAGCCUGAUGCAGCGACGCCGCGUGAGGGAUGACGGCCUUCGGGUUGUAAACCUCUUUCAGUAGGGAAGAAGCGAAAGUGACGGUACCUGCAGAAGAAGCGCCGGCUAACUACGUGCCAGCAGCCGCGGUAAUACGUAGGGCGCAAGCGUUAUCCGGAUUUAUUGGGCGUAAAGAGCUCGUAGGCGGUUUGUCGCGUCUAUCGUGAAAGUCCGAGGCUCAACCUCGGAUCUGCGGUGGGUACGGGCAGACUAGAGUGAUGUAGGGGAGACUGGAAUUCCUGGUGUAGCGGUGAAAUGCGCAGAUAUCAGGAGGAACACCGAUGGCGAAGGCAGGUCUCUGGGCAUUUACUGACGCUGAGGAGCGAAAGCAUGGGGAGCGAACAGGAUUAGAUACCCUGGUAGUCCAUGCCGUAAACGUUGGGCACUAGGUGUGGGGGACAUUCCACGUUUUCCG